CCCGCAGCUCCCCGGGGCGGGGCGCGGUGCCGCUCCAUCCAACGCGACGCAGCGCCCGCCGCCCCCUCGGGUGCCAUUCCCGCCUCGGCGCCGGAACGCUUCCGUGGCCACCGCCUUUGAGCGGGCCGGGAGAGGGAGACCCCAUUUCCCGGAAACAGAGCCGUUGGUGAAGAUCCCUGCUUCUCCUUCGACAGACGUUCCGUCUGCACGAGGCGGCGACAAAGGCCGGCGAUGGACCGCGAUGGGCCGGACGCCGUUCGGCAGGAGGCAGAGGUGGAGCGUGGCCGCUACCUGAGCCGCCGCGCCGUGGCCCAGGAGCAGCUGGCGCAAAUAAAGGAGCACAAGGAUCAAGCAGAUCUGGCUAAGCUGGAAAAGAGAAGAGAAGGGGAACGAAUACAACAAUCAAGCCAAUUGUACCAACUGGAAAUUCAGAGAGAUAAAGAGAAGGAUCAGGAGAAAAAAGUUGAAUUCCAAAGGCACCAUCAUGAAUAUGUAGCUGAACAGAAAAUAUUUAAAGCUGAAGAGAAACAAAAAGAAGACAAAGAUGAUGAUCGGAUUAAGGCUUAUAUUAAGGAAAAAGAAAUGAUGGCUGAUCUGACAAGAGAAAAAAAUGCAGAGACUAACAGGAUGAUAGAGAAGCAUAAAGACAAAGCUUUUGAACAAUUAAAUGCACAGAUGAAUGAGAAAUUUAAGAUUGAAGAUGAUCGUCUUGCUAGAGGAGCUGCAGAGGUAGAACUUGAGUACCAAAUAAAAAAUAAAGAGAAAGAAAUGAAAAAAAAGGCUGUCCUUGAAUCCAUUGAAGAAAACAGAGUCACUGUGAUGAAGUUGAAAGAGGAAAAGGAGAGACAGGAGAAAGAAGAGGAUGAGAAGGAUCGUAAUCAGUGGAUGACAGAAAAUGACGUCUACUUGGAAAUGGAAAAAGCCAAGAAACAAAGACAGCGUGAUGCAAACAUGGAAAUACAGAAAUUUCAGCUCCAGCAAAUGGCUGAAAAGCAGGCAAGAAAAGAGCAGGAAAAGCAAGCAGAAUUGGACUACAAUGCUCAGAGAGAGGCUGCUUUCCAUGGGGAUCGAGCAUUUCGGAGAUAAAGGCACAAGCAGAAAGAAUGGAAACUUUUCUAAAAGCCUUUUGAUGGCAGAAGCUGGAGCCUUAAGAAGUAUUGACUACAGCAGGAGUGGUGCUGAAACCUGCAGAGCUCAGUAAUGCUCCAAAUGAAUCCCUAAGUGCAAAUUUGCACAUGCUCACUACUAUGCAAUUGAAACACAUUUAACCACUACAGAAGCAUCUACAAAGGAGUAAGAAGCUAGCCACUCACUCCUUCCAAGUUCUGUAUGCCUGCAAAACCAAUCAGUGCCCAAGAGCAGAAGCUAACUGUGGACCAAGUUACAAGACAUGCUAUUUGCUGCAACCUGCCUAUAAUGCAAGCUCAAGAAACAAGUGCCAUAGCUUGCAACUGUACUUGAACUAGUCUAACUUUAUUAUGGAACAAAGCAGUAUUCUUUUCAGAAAGUCAAGUGGUAACAGCCAAAGGUAAACUAUCAGUUCAUCUGUACUGUACUCCUUGAAUAUUCCUGGGCCUCCAAGCUUAACUCAAACCUUCUGUUUUGACUUGAAAAAAAAUCUUACUCAACAAAUAGAAUUGGAUACAUCUGUGUGUAACAAUACAAUUCAUGUUGACUGUACCUUUUUUUGGUGACAGUUUUCUACUUACUUUUACUUUGGAGAAUGCAAUGAAAGGUAGAAACAGUAUCUUGAGAAGUUGUGGCAUUGUCUGAGUCUUUUAAUCCUUUAUGGGAGAUGUCUGCAGCAAGACUGCAUCCAGCACUCCAGCUACCCUGACUACAGGAAAUGGGAAAAACACUUUCCUGUCAUGUCCUAAGCACUCUGCGGCCAACCAGCCGGGCUGUGAUGCUGCUGUAGGUGACUUUUUGAUUAAAAGUUGCUUUUUCACUCAGUUCCAAAGUGACUGUAAGCUGUGUUCAUUCCAUUUAUGUUCAGACUGAGCAAACAGUUCUUUAGGGAAAACUAUGCUGCUUCACAUUCAGACACACACACACGACUUGUAUUUUUUUCAAGUAAAAGCCCAUAGUUGGCAACAAGCAGAGUUUGCAAUUAGACACUAGGCCAGCUUCAUUACAUAGCUGCAUUUUUACAUGUUACAAUAUAAACAUAAUAGACUGUCAUUUGCCAUUCUGUUGUAGAAAUCCUUAA